UUCUGUCAUCUUUGAAUAGCUUCCUCUCAAACAUGACACUCCUCUCUAUGUUGCUUUUCCCCCCUGAUAUGUACGUCUAUCAUGUCACUAGCAUAAACCAAAGAAGCAGCUUAAUGUAGAGCAAUCACAGGACCUCGGGAUCAGUUCUGUUCCAACAAGAAAACUUAACCUCGACUGAUUGUAACAAUGUCUGUGGUUGCAUAAAGGCAAGGAUAAUAGAUCGUCACCAAAAUUUGCACAAUAAGAAUACAUAUUUCUAUUCCACAUUUUAAAGGCUCGAUAUGAUGUCAGAAUAGGUAUAGAGGAAACAAGAAAUACAUAACAUAAAGAAUGUGAGGUGUGUUGAAACACACUCUUAAACGAAUGAAUGACUGGCAUUGUAAUUGAGAGAAACACUCGUCUCAAAUUAUAAUAGACUUUUUACCAAUUUUUGAAGCAACAUUCUUAUUUAAAGAAUAUAAUAGUUAAUAGUGGAGCAGAAAAGGAGUGCCAUUCUAGAGACGGAAAUAGCUAAGUAAACCAAGAAUGUUUUGCAGCGGCCUGUUGCUGAGUUCAACCAUUAUACUUUGAAACAUCCUUUCUAGUGCAAAAUGCUGGAGCAGGAAAAAGCUUGCUGUCACUUGGUGAAUAAAUAAAAAAUAUAUUUCUCGAGCUACUGAAGCACUCUAGUUUUAAGUGAUUUAUACUCUGUUCAAAGUAGUACAUGUAUAUUCUUCUAUUUCUGGCAAAUUACCCGUUCAAUAUAUGCAUAUGCGGUCACUUCUUCCAUUGAGGCAACCUCUGCACCACUACCUGUACAUAUCAUCGAACUACCAUUGUAUGAGCGAGCGCUAAAAUUGCAGACAGACAGUUGUUCAUUUUUAGUUGUUUACCCACAUGUUUAGGACCUUGAGAUGAUAAUAACGUCUGACUUGAAUUUGUUGGGAAUAAAACCCCUACCAAAAUAAUAUUCACGGUAAUAAAAGCGGAAUAAUAAUGUANN
rnacentral:lncRNA from 1 species